GGGCAAACAUAAAAUAAAAUAAAGAAACAUAUAUCACAAAGAUUGAUAAGAUGGACUAAUGUGUAGGGAUCCGAUCAAUCUUGAUGGAUAUAAUCGGCAGGUGUAUCUACUUAUAUUAUCCCCAAUUUGUUGGCUAUGCUCUAUUACCGGUCAAGUUUCUUUUAUGCAACGUUGAUGCAAGAUUAUAGAAAUGCAAUUCAAAAAUUAAACAUGGAU
rnacentral:lncRNA from 1 species